rnacentral:rRNA from 1 species
AUAUCAAUAAGCGGAGGAAAAGAAACCAACAGGGAUUGCCCCAGUAACGGCGAGUGAAGCGGCAAUAGCUCAAAUUUGAAAUCUGGCUCUUUCAGGGUCCGAGUUGUAAUUUGCAGAGGGCGCUUUGGUGUCGGCAGCAGCCUAAGUUCCUUGGAACAGGUCAUCAUAGAGGGUGAGAAUCCCGUAUGUGGCUGCUUGUCUUCACCGUGUAAAGCCCCUUCGAUGAGUCGAGUUGUUUGGGAAUGCAGCUCUAAAUGGGAGGUAAAUUUCUUCUAAAGCUAAAUAUUGGCCAGAGACCGAUAGCGCACAAGUAGAGUGAUCGAAAGAUGAAAAGCACUUUGGAAAGAGAGUCAAAAAGCACGUGAAAUUGUUGAAAGGGAAGCGCUUGCAGCCAGACGUGCCCGUAGUUGCUCAUCUGGGGUUUUCCCCAGUGCACUCUUCUAUAGGCAGGCCAGCAUCAGUUCGGGCGGUUGGAGAAAGACCUGUGUCACGUAGCUCUCUUCGGGGAGUGUUAUAGGGCAGGUGGAAUGCAACCAGCCUGAACUGAGGUCCGCGCAUCUGCUAGGAUGCUGGCGUAAUGGCUGUAAGCGG